CAAAUUAUUUAGAAAAGAUUUUUUAUUUACAAUAAWUAAAUUAGUUGUUUAAUUCAACUUAAUUUGA
rnacentral:tRNA from 1 species